rnacentral:rRNA from 1 species
UACGGGGGGGGCAAGCGUUGUUCGGAAUUACUGGGCGUAAAGGGCGCGUAGGCGGCCUGCUAAGUCGGAUGUGAAAUCCCUCGGCUCAACCGAGGAACUGCAUCCGAUACUGGCGGGCUUGAAUCCGGGAGAGGGAUGUGGAAUUCCAGGUGUAGCGGUGAAAUGCGUAGAUAUCUGGAGGAAUACCGGUGGCGAAGGCGGCAUCCUGGACCGGCAUUGACGCUGAGGAGCGAAAGCUAGGGGAGCAAACGGG